rnacentral:lncRNA from 1 species
UGGUUAGGUUGGCUGAGCCAUACUCGGAUCUAGACAUUGGUUUGUUGGAUGUACUUGGUGUAGUCAUGCUAAUAGUUGACCUGAAAGAAUAAUAUCCUACAAGCCAAUCACAUAUGAGAUGUGAUAGGAUAUUUUUUAUAAUUUAUCUUCCAAACUCAUGUAUUCGACAUUAUUAUUUAAAUAAACUAGGCUUUUCGAUUCAUUAUAUACUGCAUCUUAUUAUUAUUUUAAGAUUAUAAUGAACCCCAUAGUUUUGGAUAAUGAUUUUAGGA